CGGCACGGGUGAGUAACACGUAUGGAACCUGCCCUAUGCAGGGGGAUAAGCGGAAGAAAUUCCGUCUAAUACCGCAUAACACCAUUUGGAGACAUCUCCAGGUGGUCAAAGGAGGCGACUCCGGCAUAGGAUGGCCAUGCGUCGCAUUAGCUAGUCGGCGGGGUAACGGCCCACCGAGGCGACGAUGCGUAGGGGUUCUGAGAGGAAGGUCCCCCACACUGGUACUGAGACACGGACCAGACUCCUACGGGAGGCAGCAG
rnacentral:rRNA from 1 species